ensembl:lncRNA
AUGGAUUUUCCAGAAAGAACCAGCCCUAGCAACCUGCCAUCAGAUGAGUCACUUAAGCAUUUGAAUCCUAUUUCUUUCUCAGUUCGUGGCAAGAAGGUGGGUGAAAGGCAAGGCGACAGGACUCAUGGGGGCUCCUUGGGCGCAGCCGUAGGGUCCGGCUCUCUGAGGGUGAUGGGCAUCGUCUCCUGCUCCUUCCACCUCCGAGACCUCCCGCUUCGGAAAUCCUGUGCCUGUGCUAACCCACUGGGCAGAAACCAGAACUGGUUGUUAGCACAAACCUUCCAGCUGCAAGGCAAAGGGAUUGCGAGAUACCUGACAUUUCAAAAGACAGCUGGAAUGAGCGAGAUAUCAAUGGACACAUUCGUUAAAUGUCACCACUUUUGUUUCUCUUCAACAUUCAGUGCCUAAGUUAUUCUAAAUUAAUUACCCAGCCACUUGAUUUAUUCUGUACAUCCCCCUCCCUGCUCCCUCCUACCCUCUCCAGACUUUAGAGCAGUGCAAUCUUAUUGCCUUUGUUUUCAAGCUACUCAGCUGUGAAAGGUGAAGAGCCCUCCAAGGAGGGAGGACGUGGUCCAUGCAGCCCUGGCUGCUGUACUGUGCCCUCGGGCUGCGCACCAGAAGCUGAGCCUGGCUGUUGCCACCGAAGCAAACCCACCUCUGUCUUAUAGAUGUGGGUCACAUGACCUGCUCAGGAUAGCCUGGGCAAGCUGGAGAGUCAGGGCUGAACCCAGAUCUUCUGGCUCUUAAGUUUACCAAAUGUAGUGGCGUGGAAGAGAUGAACCUGUCCUCACGUGGCAAAUCUGGCAAGAUACAACAUUGCAUGUCAGGCAGUCAUGGGGAUGAAACAGAAUGGAGAAUACAGUUCUAGCCUCAGCUUCCUGGCCAGGGAGAGAGCAAGCCAGAAGCAUCAGGGCAGCCCCAGGUUUAAGACCAGGAGGCACAGAAAGAAACCCCUCUGUGUAAGGAGUCAGGCAUCUCUGGACCGUCUGGAAAAGAAAGCUAGUGGCAAUUAAAGGAGGAUGGUUUGCGAAGCUUGUCUCGUUCUUCAAUUUCACUAUUCACUCUAACUGCAGUGUGUCAUCAGCAGUAAUUUCUCCAGGGAGAUGAAGGACUAUGGUACAAAGGGGCCAUAACCCUGUCAGCUGUGAUUAGCAAGUCCUCUCUCAUCUCCAGGACUCAUGUUUCCAAAAACACUGAGAAUUUCCAGCCGUAGGUUCUCACUCCUCAUUGUCCUAGCCCAAAGGGUCCCCAUGAGCCUGGCUCAGGCACAGGCUGCAAUGUGAAGCCACAGAAAACAGAAGAGAUGCUACAUGUCUCAGGAUGCCUGAAGGCACCUGCCCACAUCACUGCUCUGUCUGCAUAAUCCCCGAUGUGUCACCAAACCUCCCCAAUCUGUGCAGAAAAAAGAGUCACCUCAGGGAAAGGAGUCACACAUCUCCCCACUCUGCCCCAAGGACUAAUUUAUUGCCAGUGAGCCAUCCUCAGCUGAGGCCCCUGCAAGAGGAGACUCACCCCUCUGGUACUGAACAGGAAGAGAUGGAAGGCAGGAGAGCUGAGCUAGCUCAGCUCAGCUAACUCCUGAGUUUGCACAACUCCUCUGAGCCCUUGGAGUUCUUCUGCCUGCCUCUCCCAUGCCAGCCCAUCAUGGACUUCCCUUUUCAACAAGUCUGAUGACACAGGCUUUGUUUGGAGUUGUGUGUUGUAGAGUGAUGAGCCCUCCUGCCAUUUCUGAGCUUUCCAGUAGAGCUACCAAGUUACAGCAAGACUUCACUCUGCCUGGCAUUGUUUAACACAGGACAUGUUUAUGGGGUGACUGAUAGGGCUGGGUGUGAUGAGUGGACUCCACAAUUCUUCAGCUAUUCUUGCAGGAGUAAUUGAUGUGGGGGAACAAAUGAAUGUGCAUGAGUGGUGGUUCACAAAGAGGCCACUGCAGGGCUCUCUCCAGGAAGGAAUGAGGGUUGGGUCUCAGAGGGUACACGUAGGGUUGCACUAAGGAGGGUAUACAUGUAGGUGGAUGGCUUAGGCAAUCCUUCUCCAGGCUUAUUGCGUUACAGAGUUAUUUCCUCUUUAUGUAUCUGUCUCCUCCUCUGAAUUGUGAGCUCCUUGAAGAGAUGUGUUUUGUUAGAAGGCAGCUCAGCAUCAUGUUGGGAUACAAACGUUGCUUGGCUUCACGUUUUUCCCCAAAGUGAAAAUCCAGCUGGUUUGCUCCCCAGUUUGUGUCUGAAGCAGUAUCUGGUAUUUAUAGAGGACUGAACCGAGGGCUUCAGCAUCAUGCUUAAGCAUGUGGACAAUGGGAUUUAGUUACCUGAGUUCAGUUGUAUGACCAUGGAUAGCUUUCUUGACCUCUUAUGGUUAAAGAGAAAAUUAAGUGAAGUAAUGGCUGUAAGGCACUUAGAACAGUGCCCAGCAUAGAAGUGUGUAGUUGGGGCACCUGGGUGGCUCAGGGGUUGAGCAUCUGCCUUCAGCCCAGGGCGUGAUCCUAGAGUCCUGGGAUCAACUCCCACGUCCAGCUCCCUGCAUGGAGCCUGCUUCUCCCUCUGCCUGUGUCUCUGCCUCUCUUUGUGUAUGUCUCUCACGAAUAAAUAAAUAAAAAUCUUUUUUAAAAAGUGCGUA